rnacentral:rRNA from 1 species
GACGAACGCUGGCGGCGUGCCUAAUACAUGCAAGUUGAGCGCUGAAGGUUGGUACUUGUACCAACUGGAUGAGCAGCGAACGGGUGAGUAACGCGUGGGGAAUCUGCCUUUGAGCGGGGGACAACAUUUGGAAACGAAUGCUAAUACCGCAUAAAAACUUUAAACACAAGUUUUAAGUUUGAAAGAUGCAAUUGCAUCACUCAAAGAUGAUCCCGCGUUGUAUUAGCUAGUUGGUGAGGUAAAGGCUCACCAAGGCGAUGAUACAUAGCCGACCUGAGAGGGUGAUCGGCCACAUUGGGACUGAGACACGGCCCAAACUCCUACGGGAGGCAGCAGUAGGGAAUCUUCGGCAAUGGACGGAAGUCUGAACGAGCAACGCCGCGUGGGUGAAGAAGGUUUUCGGAUCGUAAAACUCUGUUGGUAGAGAAGAACGUUGGUGAGAGUGGAAAGCUCAUCAAGUGACGGUAACUACCCAGAAAGGGACGGCUAACUACGUG